UGUUCCAGAACUCAUAGUCCUUCUGUUUUACUGUAGUUAUCUCUGUUUUCUAUGAUAUUAUUUUAUUUAGCUGCAUUUUUAAAUAGAAGGGUAGUUGUGGUCUCUGAUAUACCAUCCUGCAGAAAUGAGAGUUGUGUUGCAUACAGGGAGUUCAUUAGAUUACCAUGUUUCCAUUAAUUAUGAGGUCAGCAGGAAGAAAGGAAAACGGUCCCAUACAUAAGAUACAAGCCCUCAUAUAUGAUUGUAUGUCAAACCUCCCCUUUCACUUUAAAACAUAAACAUAUAAGUUCUUCUUCUAUGUUCCAAGCACGUCUGUUUUACUAUUAUUCUAGAAUUUUUUGAUAAAAAUAUUAAUGUGAAAGGAAGUUUAGCAAAAAAAAAUUCUUUGGUAAUAAACAAAUUUUACCUGUUUACCAAAAAAUAGGGGGUCUAAAAUAAGAUGGAAAUUUUUGUGUCAUUAGGAGACAAUUUCCUUUUAUGAGCUUAAAGAAAAGAUAUUUUGGUGGUGAACUUAUGAUUAAUAAUUCUAUAUUCCAUAUACUUUUGCAAAUAUGAUUUUGAAAACAUGACUUAUUUCAGGGAAUUUUCAAAAUUAAAGAGUUGCCAAUUGUUGUUUUUGUUCUUUAGUUCCUUGAACCUAAAAAAAUACAAUGAAAAGUAUGGAGGAUGUAUGUUCUUAUCUCAAACAAGACUAGAAAAUGCUAUGUGCAUGAACCGUUACCCAUGUAUUUGUCAGAAGAGACUGGAUAACUUCCCUGAUUGACUCUCCAACAAGAGUUAAAGGAUUUAGUCUGCUGUGCAAACAACGAGAUGAGCUGGAAGAGUGUGGGAAUGUUCUCUGGAAUCUGAUGUGGCAGAGCAGAGGCUUCUUCCAUCCUGGUGAAGACAGGACACAUUUUCUCUGGUGCAUGGACAUGGUUUGCUUCAAAGUCUCCAGGACUCUGCUCUUUCUGAUUUCUUAAACUCUUAUACAAUUAAAUCAAAUCCCAAUAACC
rnacentral:lncRNA from 1 species